rnacentral:rRNA from 1 species
UACGUAGGGUGCAAGCGUUAAUCGGAAUUACUGGGCGUAAAGCGUGCGCAGGCGGUUCGUUAAGUUCGAUGUGAAAGCCCCGGGCUCAACCUGGGAACUGCAUUGGAAACUGGCGAGCUUGAGUAUGGCAGAGGGGGGUGGAAUUCCGCGUGUAGCAGUGAAAUGCGUAGAGAUGCGGAGGAACACCGAUGGCGAAGGCAGCCCCCUGGGCCAAUACUGACGCUCAGGCACGAAAGCGUGGGGAGCAAACAGG